GUAUAUAAAAAUUAUGAAAACAAAAAAUUAUGGCGGUACUUUAAGCUUUUCAGAGGAAUUUGCUCUAUAAUGGAUAAAACACCUAAAUCUUACUUAAAUUUGUUAAAGCAGCUUGUAUACCACUAUAAAAGUAAUAAAUAAAUAUUAUUACUUUAGUUUUAUAAUUAAAAAGAAAAUUAAGUCAUGGUGCAGCAAAAUUUAAGAAUGAAGUGAAUUACAUUUCUUUUUAGAAAAAAUCAUUGAAAUUCAAUUAGGAUUUGAAAGUAAAAAUUUAAUAUAAUGAUAUUUUGAAAUAAGUUCUAAAGUAUGUAC
rnacentral:rRNA from 1 species